rnacentral:rRNA from 1 species
CAGCCGCCACGGUAAUACGUAGGUGGCAAGCGUUGUCCGGAAUUAUUGGGCGUAAAGGGCUCGCAGGCGGUUUCUUAAGUCUGAUGUGAAAGCCCCCGGCUCAACCGGGGAGGGUCAUUGGAAACUGGGAAACUUGAGUGCAGAAGAGGAGAGUGGAAUUCCACGUGUAGCGGUGAAAUGCGUAGAGAUGUGGAGGAACACCAGUGGCGAAGGCGACUCUCUGGUCUGUAACUGACGCUGAGGAGCGAAAGCGUGGGGAGCGGACAGGAUUAGAUACCCCUGUAGUCCCUGUCUCUUAUAC